GAUAAACGCUGGCGGCGUGCCUAAUGCAUGCAAGUCGGACGGGGCCGGACUUCGGUCGGGCUUACGUGGCGGACGGGUGAGGAACACGUGGGCAAUCUGCCCUGAGGUGGGGGGUAGCCCGUGGAAACACGGGGUAAUUCCGCAUAGCUUGGCCCGCUCGUGGGGCGGGUGAGGAAAGGCCGGGGGCUUUCGGGCUUCGGGUCGCCUUGGGAGGAGCCUGCGGCCGAUUAGCCAGCUGGUGGGGUAACGGCCUACCAGGGCGAUGAUCGGUAGCUGGUCUGAGAGGACGGCCAGCCACAGGGGAACUGAGACACGGUCCCCACUCCUACGGGAGGCAGCAGCAAGGAAUUUUCCGCAAUGGGCGCAAGCCUGACGGAGCAACGCCGCGUGCGGGAGGACGCCUUUCGGGGUGUAAACCGCUUUUGCCGGGGACGAAGGCCGCUGCCGCAAGGCCAGCGGUGAGACGGUACCCGGCGAACAAGGUCCGGCUAACUACGUGCCAGCCGCCGCAGUAAAAC
rnacentral:rRNA from 1 species